UCGAGGGGUAUGGCAGCAAUGCCAGAGACCGGCGCACGGGUGCGUAACGCGUAUGCAAUCUGCCUUUCACAGAGGGAUAGCCCAGAGAAAUUUGGAUUAAUACCUCAUAGUAUAAUGAGUUGGCAUCAACCCAUUAUUAAAGUCACAACGGUGAAAGAUGAGCAUGCGUCCCAUUAGCUAGUUGGUAAGGUAACGGCUUACCAAGGCGACAAUGGGUAGGGGUCCUGAGAGGGAGAUCCCCCACACUGGUACUGAGACACGGACCAGACUCCUACGGGAGGCAGCAGUGAGGAAUAUUGGUCAAUGGGCGCAAGCCUGAACCAGCCAUGCCGCGUGCAGGAUGACGGUCCUAUGGAUUGUAAACUGCUUUUGUACGGGAAGAAACAGCGAUUCGUGAAUCGCCUUGACGGUACCGUAAGAAUAAGGAUCGGCUAACUCCGUGCCAGCAGCCGCGGUAAUACGGAGGAUCCAAGCGUUAUCCGGAAUCAUUGGGUUUAAAGGGUCCGUAGGCGGUUUUGUAAGUCAGUGGUGAAAGCCCAUCGCUCAACGGUGGAACGGCCAUUGAUACUGCAAGACUUGAAUUAUUAGGAAGUAACUAGAAUAUGUAGUGUAGCGGUGAAAUGCUUAGGGAUUACAUGGAAUACCAAUUGCGAAGGCAGGUUACUACU
rnacentral:rRNA from 1 species